UACGUAGGGUGCGAGCGUUGUCCGGAAUUAUUGGGCGUAAAGAGCUCGUAGGCGGUUUGUUGCGUCGGCCGUGAAAACCUGCAGCUUAACUGUGGGCCUGCGGCCGAUACGGGCAGACUUGAGUUCGGUAGGGGAGACUGGAAUUCCUGGUGUAGCGGUGAAAUGCGCAGAUAUCAGGAGGAGCACCGGUGGCGAAGGCGGGUCUCUGGGCCGAUACUGACGCUGAGGAGCGAAAGCGUGGGGAGCGAACAGG
rnacentral:rRNA from 1 species